rnacentral:misc_RNA from 1 species
AAAGCCCCAAAAGUACAGACCAAUUGAGGGAGUAAAAAAAAGCAGUAAUUUUGAGAACCACAACGUUUAAUUUUGUUAGUGAAAGCAACCCGAUAAGUGGACGAUAUUGACCUGGCGGACUCACUAGCACCAGACAAAUCGAUUGUUACUGGUAACAGUUGGUAAGUACUCAAAACAACAUUCAAAGCAGAAGAUCCGACAAAAAGGUUGCUGCGUAAUAGGUCCCUUUCCGGCGGGUGUGUUAGACUUUAG